GUGAAUCAUCGAAUCUUUGAACGCAAAUUGCACUCUCCUCGGAGAGUAUGCCUGUUUGAGGGUCAGCCUAUAAAAAAUCGACAUCGUUGCUGUUUCGCGGUGGCGUUCGUCGGAAAUUGGGUCAUCUUAAAUCUUUUGUUUUAAGGCUCAUAAAAUUUUUUUUUUGGGUACUUUAAAGGUUCUUAAAUUUUUUUUUUUAUUCGUUUGAGGUAAUGCUUUUUAUUUUACGUGAUCCUAC
rnacentral:misc_RNA from 1 species